GUUAGCGGAUGUUGGCCCGGAAACUGGGAAGGGGAAUAACAAUCGAAAUGUCAAUAAGAAAUACUCAAGUUAACAAAGAUGAAAAAGAAAGAAAAUUAAUGCCAAAUUAUACAAAUGUGUGGAGUUGGGAGGGAGAAGAGAAGGAGGGAGGGAGGAGACAGGGAGAUAGAGAAAGAAUGAGAUAGAGAUAGAUAUAGAUAGAUAUCACAGAACAAUUAAAUCUGUACAAUGGACGGAAGUACUUCUGUCAGGAUUUGGGUGCAAUCUCCAAGCUCUGGGUCUCUGGGCCAGCUACUUAAACCUUUCUAAGUGCACAUGAAUGAUCAUACAUGCCUUCUUUUCAUUGCUGUGAAGACGAUCCAUGCCUGUAUCCUCAUUUGCUCCUUCAGAUCCUGUUUUUACCGGUAUUUGAGAAGGCAGAUGUAUGUCACACAUUUGCUUUCGUUGUCAUGGUUUCCUCCAUUAUGUCAACUCCAUAGAAGGUGGGCUGUCAAGGUGGAAUUCAAGAAGAAACCAUAAAUAUUUGCAUACAACUUGCUUCAGAGAACCUGGGGAGGGGCCCUCCCAGAGUGGGAGAGUCAAGUUCCCACCAGCCCGAGGACAGGAGCGAAAUCUGCCUGUCAUAAUAAUGGGAUAGGAUAGUCAGUCAUCUGGAUGAGGCUCCUGAUUUACUGGGAGCCAAAGAGUGCUGUGUCCAGGAUGUGGGGGUGGUGGAGGAAACGUGUCUUAACAAAGAGUCUUGGGAGACGCUCAACCACCAUUAGCUCUCUUUGUGUGAGGGAUCAGCCUCUUCACGCUGGUGUGGGGCCAUCAGUCAGGCCUGCAAAGCUGCCUUGUGUGGGGAAAUGGAGAGGCAUCGUGCAUUCAGGUGCACCUCUGUGGGCCACUGUACCCUGGAAUCCAUUUUCUUCAGUUCUAGGGUCUUGCCUCAGGUCCUGUUUCUUCCUCUCUUGUCUGACUCAACGGUCUCCUUUAUCCAAGAGAACGGCUUUUGUGGUUUUGUUACUCGUGGUUAACUGUGGUCUGGAAAUGCAAGAUGACAAGAAUAAGUAGAAAGUUUUAUAAUUUUGUGUCAUCCUCAGCCACAUGAUAAAGCUUUAUAUGGCCCCAUUCUCUCCUGACUAGGGCAUGAAUGAUCUGCUGUCCUGAGUGUCUACAUGGUGCAUGCUCCCACCUCCUAGUCACUUGGCAGCUCUGCAGGUUGUCAGACCAUGCUCCUGUUCGUGUAACUGCCAUGCAGCCUAACAUGUUCACAGGGCCAGUUUCCUCACUACAUCUCAUCAUUAGAGAAUUGUGUUAACGUGCAUAAUCACAAGAGGGCUGAGUCUGUCCAAGGUAUUCUGGGAGAAAGAGGAGGAAGAGAUAUUAAUAUGAUUUUAUUACAAUAUAUUAUAUCACCUGCGUUUUAUAAUAUCACUGUAACCUCUUAUUCCAUUCACUUAUAAUUUACACUUUAUUAUAACUAUUUUUGUUUGAGAGAACACAUGUGUAGGUUCAGUGACUGCCUGUAGUUUCAAGGACAUCUGGGAGGUCUUGGAACUGGCUCCUGUGGAGAUGAGCACAGGCAUUCAACACCUUCCCCUCACAGACUGUUAAUCCCCACCGUGUGUGUGUGUGUGUGUGUGUGUGUGUGUGUGUGUGUGUGUGUGUGUGUGUAUGCAGGAAGGUUUCUUGUAUCGAUUCUAAUUUGUGUUUCUUUUAGCACAUUUACAUUGGUCUCUGUUUUAAAUGUUUUUUUUUUCCCUGAAGUGAUUGGCAACCCUUGGCUCUCCAUAUUUUACAAGAAAUUUAAAAAUGAAUGAACACCUCUUAUUUGUGGGCAGAGCCUGACCUAGGUGAGUUUGUAUUCACUGUCUACAGAGAAACAAUGGAUUCUUCAGUGAGAGUAGAAUGCUAGGUUUGUUUGUUUGUUUGUUUGUUUGUUUAUAAGAUCUGUGUAUUGUUUAGAGUGGAACUCUUUUAUCUCUUGCCCUAGUGGAGACAAUGGACUUGAGUAUUACUCUAAGAACGCUGAGAGGUGCUGAGAGAAAGGCAGGCUGCAGGCUCACAGCUGAUCUAUGCAGUGCGUCUCAGGAAGACACCAGUCACAUCUCCAUUCUCAGCAAUCAGCAACUCCAGGUGACACAAAACCAGUGCAAACCAACAUGUGUGAUAGUGCACAAGAGCAGGAAGAGAGUGUUGAUGAAUGUGGACUUUGAAACUAACAAUAAGGCCACGCCAAGGUCCUUUGACAGAUCAUUCAUGCUUCAGAAAAUUUAGAAUUGGCAAAACAGUACCAAUAAGUUAUAAAAUGGACAAAUUGAGGAACCACAUGACAAACUAAAGAGUUUUCUUCUAAGAAAUGAUGGAGACCAUUACAGAAAACCACCACUGAUCAAAAUGCAGAGAACACCUAGCCACGGGGUAUCUGGGCCUAGUUGAUAAAUCUAUAUCACACCGCCUGUAUGUAAGGCAUGAAGGAAGGGAAAGCAGGAAGAUUGGAAAAGCCAGAGGACCAGAACAUCUGUGGAGAGAUUCUUCUACAUAGAACACAGAAGGUCACUCGUGAAAUCUCAACAACACGACUGCCUAAAUAAGACCUGAACAAUGAGAGCAUAAGUUGACAUGCUAGUGUAGAUGGGGGAACUCUCUUGGGGUUUCACCCCUAGAUGAAGAGCUAAAAGCAAUUGACUGCUGAGAGAGAGAGAAUCAAUCUUCCUCAGGGAUGAGCCUAUUGCUAUCUAAUUCCAAAUGAUCAUCCCUAUUGGUCAUAUCCUAUGCAUAUGCAAUAGUAAGGGGCUUCAGAAGGUUACAUUUAUGUGUUUACAUGCAUGUGACAAUAAUAGUUAGAGAUAAAAGAAAACGAUAGAGAUAGUGCAUGGAGGAGGAAGGAAGAGUGGGUUGGAGAUUGAGGAAAGAGAAAUGUGGACAGGCAGAGCAGGAUAUGAUAAGAAGGGACUGAAGAUAGUGAAAUUAUAUCAUGGGUAUGAAACAUCAUGAAACCCAUUUCUUCGUACAAUUAAUAAAUGCUACUAAACCAAAAGACGCUAUAACAACAGGUAGGUAAAUGCCGCAGUGUGCGUGGAGACCCCCAUUUUUUGCUCCUCUCAUCCAUUCCGCUUCAGCUGGAGGAGCGUAGGGUGGCUGGGGCUGCUGUUGCACCUAAUUCUUAGAGUGGUACCCAGUAAGCUUGAGUCGUUUAUUUCUUUUUGCUCUUCAGCACAUUCCAAUGUCUUGGGGAGUUUAUCCUUACUUGAGGUCACUUGAGACUGAUGCCAAUACAUAGCUUCAGCUGAGACUCACUGGUCCACCCUGACUGGUUUGUUCCUUCUUGCUAGUAAGUUUCCCUCAAGGACUCUUCUGAAGAUGGAGAACCUGCACUUAAGACAGCAAUAGCAAGUUGUCACCCACAGUCAUUGAGAGACUCAUUUCCUGUCAUCAUCGGAAUGGUUUGAAGUUCCUUUGAAGCACCACCUAGCUUUUCCUGAGUGCGAGCAGUGGAUAUUCUGCUGCUAACCGUACACAACCUGUGAGGCUUUGGCACAGAGCACAGCCACCAGGACCAUAGAGAAAUGGCGUAGAAGUCCUGAGCAAAGCUAAAUCCGUGCUUCCUUCCGUCCCUUCCAGUCACGUGGACCAGAUCAACCUCGUCAGUGCUUGAGUGGUUUCGAGUUAUUUUUGCUGCUACUUAAGACACUGAGUAACGACGAAAGCCUAAUAUUUGAUUGAGAAGAUAUGUUAGGUGGCAUGAUCAGCGUGCUUAAGGAUGGUCAGGGAAGGAGGGCUGUGUGCUGGGCAGAAAGAUCUCUUUCUUAUACUUAAGAGGGCAAUGUGACAUAUAAGAAAGAAUAUAGGCUUUGAAAUCCACCAUCCCUGGUUCUCGGUUCUAGGCUUGUCACUUACUGUCCUUCACAGAGUCUGUUCCAUCAUCUUUAGAAUGAAGGGAAACAGAGUUUGUAAGAGUGCAAAAGGCCUAGCAAGCUCAGUAAGGAUUUCCACUCAGCCCUGUGCCUGCUGCUUCAUUGUAAAUAAUAUUAUCUGCUUCCAGAUGAGUGGUAAGGAAGGGUAGUAGGUUCUAGGGAUGAACACUAAAUGACAUAAGAGGUUCCAUUCCAUGGGCUCCACAAGCCCCAGUGAUUGACUCUGGUUGGAUUCAGGCAUGAAUAUGAGUAGCUGUAACGGGAAGGAAGGGAUGGAAAUGUAAAGAAGGGCUUUGCCUGCGAGGGAGAGUUUCCUGGAUAGACCUCUCUUGCGUAGGUGUAACUAUGUAAAUGCUGCAGAACCAUUCCGUCUUUAAUCAGUUAUCAGAGUGACCUUGAACCAGGUAAGUGACAAUGCCUCUGUUUCAUUUACUUGUGCCUUCCUAAGAACUUAGUCUGGUUUCCUAGAACAAGUCUGAGAAAUACUCUGAUAGAAUUUGAUAGCCACAGGGUUUUUAUCAGCAACAUAUUUUUACAAAAUUUUUAUUGUGAUUCAUUCCUUCUUCAUGUCCUAUAGUCUAGGAUAUGUUUAUUGUUUACUGAACUUAAUUUCUUUCUUUUUUUAUUAGAUAUAUUUCUUUACUUACAUUUCAAAUGUUAUUCCCUUUCCCAGUUUCCUGUCCAUAAGUCCCCAUCCCCUCCCUUCUCCCUCCCCCAUAUGGGUGUUCCCCCCAUACAUCCUCCUUACUGCCCCCCCACAUUCCCCUGCACUGGGGGUCCUACCUUGGCAGGACCAAGAGCUUCCCCUUCCCCUGGUGCCCCAACAAGGCUAUUCUCUGCUAUAUAUGCAGUUGGAGCCCUGGGUCAGUCCAUGUGUAGUCUUUCGGUAGUGGUUUAGGCCCUGGAAGCUCUGGUUGGUUGGCAUUGUUGUUCUUAUGGGGUUGCAAGCUCCUUCAACUCUUUCAAUCCUUCCUCUAAUUCCCCCAAAGGGGGUCCUGUUCUCAGUUCAGUGGUUUGCUUCUAGCAUUGACCUCUGUAUUGGACAUGCUCUGGAUAUGUCUCUCAGGAGAGAUCUAUAUCCAGUCCCUUUCAGCAUGCAUUUUUUAGCUUAAUCAAUCUUAUCUAGUUUUGGUGGCUGUAUAUAUAUGGGCCACAUGGGCCACAUGUGGGGCAGGCUCUGAAUGGCCGUUCCUUCAGUUGCUGCUCUAAACUUUGCUUCCAUAUCCCCUCCUAUGGAUUUUUUUUCUCUUUUAAGAAGGAGUGGGAGCAUCUGCAUUUUGGUCAUCUUUCUUCUUGAGCUUUCUGUGGUCUGUGGAUUGCAUCUUGGGUAAUUUGAGCUUUUGGUCUAAUAUCCACUUAUCAAUGAGUGCAUACCAAGUGUGUUUGUCUGGGAAAGGGUUACCUCACUCAGGAUGAUAUUUCUAGUUCAUUCCAUUUGCCUAUGAAUUUCAUGAAGUCAUUGCUUUUGAUAACUGAGUAGUACUCCACUGUGUAGAUAUACCACAUUUUUUGAAUCCAUUCCUCUGCUGAAGGGCAUCUGGGUUCUUUCCAGCUUCUGGCUAUUAUAAAUAAGGUUGCUAUGAACAUAGUGGAGCAUGUGUCUUUGUUGUAUGUUCAAGGGAGCACUCGCUUUGUGUUGCUGGGGCAAUGAUGUAUAAAAUUAAUGGCUCAAACUCCUCACCUGAGGUUGAGCCCUACAACCUUACUUUUGAGAGAUCUGUCAAAGGAAGGGUGUCUCUCACCCACCCCUGCCUUUAUGGUAUCUCUCCUUCAUAUUUAGACUACUCUAGCUUCAGCUGCAAUGAAAGCAAACUUUAAAAAGCAUAAACAACUAGGUCUAAAUACUUUUGAUUUAAUUAAGGUUUGAAUAAAAUCGGCAUUGUCUGAUCUAA